GACGGAGGAUGCAAGUGUUAUCCGGAAUCACUGGGCGUAAAGCGCACGCAGGCGGUCUGCUAAGUUUGGAGUGACAGUUGGUGGCUUAACUGCCAAAGUGCUUCGAAAACUGACAGACUUGAGGGCUUCAGAGGGACACGGAAUUCCGGGUGGAGUGGUGAAAUGCGUAGAGAUCCGGAGGAACACCAAAGGCGAAGGCAGUGUCCUGGGGAGUACCUGACGCUCAGGUGCGAAAGCCAGGGGAGCGAACGGG
rnacentral:rRNA from 1 species